rnacentral:rRNA from 1 species
CCAGCUCCAAGAGUGUAUAUUAAAGUUGUUGCAGUUAAAAAGCUCGUAGUUGGAUUUCGGAAGGUCCUUAGCAGUCCGCCCCUUCGGGGAGCGGGUUGCUGGCCUCCUAUGUUCCUAACGGUCCUCAUCCGCGAGGGUGGGGAAUCAACCGCUAGGAUCGUUUACUUUGAGGAAAUUAGAGUGUUCAAAGCAGGCGUAACUCGCCUCCGAAUACGUUAGCAUGGGAUAAUGGAAUACGACUUCGGUCUUGUUUCGUUGGUUUCGCUUGGCUGAAGUAAUGAUUGAUAGGGACAGUUGGGGGCAUUAGUAUUUAGUUGUCAGAGGUGAAAUUCUAGGAUUUACUAAAGACUGACCAAUGCGAAAGCAUUUGCCAAGGAUGUUUUCAUUAAUCAAGAACGAAAGUAGGGGGAUCGAAGACGAUCAGAUACCGUCGUAGUCUCUACCGUAAACUAUGCCGACCAGGGAUCCGGAGAGUUUGCAUGGAUGACUCCCCGGGCACCUUGUGAGAAAUCAUAAGUGUUUGGGUUUUGGGGGGAGUAUGGUCGCAAGGCUGAAACUUAAAGGAAUUGACGGAAGGGCACCACCAGGAGUGGAACCUGCGGCUUAAUUCGACUCAAC